UACGAAGGGGGCUAGCGUUGUUCGGAAUUACUGGGCGUAAAGCGCGCGCAGGCGGCUAUCCAAGUCAGUGGUGAAAGCCCGGAGCUCAACUCCGGAACUGCCAUUGAAACUGUUUAGCUUGAGGACGAGAGAGGUGAGUGGAAUUCCCAGUGUAGAGGUGAAAUUCGUAGAUAUUGGGAAGAACACCGGUGGCGAAGGCGGCUCACUGGCUCGUAUCUGACGCUCAGGCUGCGACAGCGUGGGGACUCAAACAGG
rnacentral:rRNA from 1 species